CAAUUUUCGUGUCCCCUUCGUCUAGAGGCCCAGGACACCGCCCUUUCACGGCGGUAACAGGGGUUCGAAUCCCCUAGGGGACGCCACUUGCUGGUUUGUGAGUGAAAGUCACCUACCUUAAUAUCUCAAAACUCAUCUUCUGGUGAUGUUUGAGAUAUUUGCUCUUUAAAAAUCUGGAUCAAGCUGAAAAUUGAAACACUGAACAACGAAAGUUGUUCGUGAGUCUCUCAAAUUUUCGCAACACGAUGAUGAAUCGAAAGAAACAUCCUCGGGUUGUGAGGUUAAGCGACUAAGCGUACACGGUGGAUGCCCUGGCAGUCAGAGGCGAUGAAGGACGUGCUAAUCUGCGAUAAGCGUCGGUAAGGUGAUAUGAACCGUUAUAACCGGCGAUUUCCGAAUGGGGAAACCCAGUGUGUUUCGACACACUAUCAUUAAC
rnacentral:misc_RNA from 1 species